rfam:Gossypium raimondii Chr05_contig_1263, whole genome shotgun sequence.
UUGCAUGCUUUUCCACGGCUUUCUUGAACUUCUUUUUCUCUCUUUGUGUUAGUAAAUGAAUUAAAGAGGAUGAAGGUCAAGAAAGCCGUGGGAAAACAUGAACG